GUACACGGAGGCAGCAUGGGGAAAGGCAUUGAAGGGCGGGACCCCGGAGCCGACUUGCUGCAGAUCCAAAAAGGCGGAGCUAGAUAAAGAGGAAGGGGUGGAGCUAGAACUGGACACCUCGGGGGUUUCCUGCUUUAUGGCGAAGGCGAAAAUGGAGAGACCCGGAAGGCGUGUGUGCGCCCGCCUCUCCCACAGGAGGGAGCGCGGAGACCCGGGAGCGGCCUAGGACCGGAGGCGCGACCCCUCGGCCCACCUUGAGGCCCGGCCUAGGACCGGAGGCGCGACCCCUGGGCCCACCUUGAGGCCCGGCCUAGGACUGGAGGCGCGACCCCUCGGCCCACCUUGCGGGAGCCGCCUAGGACCGGAGGCGCGACCCCUCGGCCCAGCUUGAGGCCCGGCCUAGGACCGGAGGCGCGACCCCUCGGCCCACCUUGCGGGAGCCGCCUAGGACCGGAGGCGCGACCCCUCGGCCCACCUUGAGGCCCGGCCUAGGACCGGAGGCGCGACCCCUGGGCCCACCUUGAGGCCCGGCCUAGGACUGGAGGCGCGACCCCUCGGCCCACCUUACGGGAGCCGCCUAGGGCCGGAGGCGCGACCCCUCGGCCCAGCUUGAGGCCCGGCCUAGGACCGGAGGCGCGACCCCUCGGCCCACCUUGAGGCCCGGCCUAGGACUGGAGGCGCGACCCCUCGGCCCACCUUGAGGCCCGGCCUAGGACCGGAGGCGCGACCCCUGGGCCCACCUUGAGGCCCGGCCUAGGACUGGAGGCGCGACCCCUCGGCCCACCUUGAGGCCCGGCCUAGGACCGGAGGCGCGACCCCUGGGCCCACCUGGCGGCCCGGCCGGCACAGCCCGCCUCUCCUCUCCAGGCCAGGGCCCCACACCUUCCGCCUGACAGCCAGCCAAGCUCUUCAGUCCCCCGCCCUCCACCUGCCAGGGAGGCUCCGGGCGUUGUACCUGCCACCACGGGGUAGGUCUGACGGAGUUUUGCUCUUGUUGCCCAAGCUGGAGUGCAAUGGUGCGAUCUUCGCUUACUGCAACCUCUGCUUCCUGGGUUCAAGUGAUUCCCCUGCCUCAGCCUCCCGAGUAGCAGGGAUUACAGAUGGAGCCUCGCUCUGUCACCCAGGCUGGAGUGCAGUGGCACAAUCUCGGGUCACUGCAACCUCCGCCCCCCAGCUUCAAGCGAUUCUCCUGUCUCAGCCUCCCGAGUAGCUAGGAUUACAGGUGCACGCCACCAGGCCUGGCUAAUUUUUAUAUUUUUAGUAGAGAUGGGAUUUUGCCUUGUUGGCCAGGCUGGUCUCAAACUCCUGACCUCAGGUGACCCAUCCACCUUGGCCUCCCAAAGUGCUGGGACUACAGGUGUGAGCCACCAUGCCUGGUCCCCCACUUGUUGAUUUUGCAGAAAAGAUAGCUGUGUUACAACCUGUCCUAAGGUCAGGUAUGAAUACUUGUGCUUCUUUCUUGGCUCCCCAAGCCAGAGGGCAUUCCUAUGCCCAGGUGAGAGAGCACGGAGUGUUACUUUGGCAGCACAGUCAGUUACCAGAGGUAGGAAAAGCAAAGGCCAGGCAGGACAUGAGGGGCCCUUGCACUGGCUGGUUCUCCCUGCCUUCACCACCCUCCAGGUGAAUGACUGGGUGAAUAAUGAUUGACUGAGGAGGUAAUGAAUAAUUUAUGGACACUGCUGGACCUCAGUCUCCUCAUCUGAAAGAUGAGUGGUUGGAGAAGUUUAAUGGUUUUCAAAUGCUUUUUUUUUCAGUCUUCAAAUAAGUGUUUACGUAGAAGCACCAUAUCUGAAACAGGUGACAGUGGACCAGUCUGAAUGAAAUGAGGGUUGGCAGGCCUGAGCUCCAAAACCUUCUGAUUGCCCAAGCCCUCCUUGUCUUGCUUGGAUUAUCUCCACACAAAUGGAGAAACUGGACAAGGUGGUCAUGGAGGUCCCUGAAAGCUCAAAGACUUUCUCAUUCCAGGAUUCCCCAUGUUCAUAUGCCAGCAUGGCAUGGGGGUGCUCUGUAGUCAAGCAGGGUCCUUUGGGGGGCUUAGGGAUGGAGCCAGGAAAUGGCUCUGGGACUCAGCGGGUGUCCAGAGUCUCAUCAGCAGGGUUUCUUUACUUUCACUGAGUGGCUGGUGCCUGCACACUGAGUUUUGCAGGCUUACUCUCACAGAGUGAGCUUCCUGCAGGCCCCCCACUGCAACCCCUUUCCUUCCUGGAGCUGUGUGCUGACUGGUGCGUGAGCACCCCAGGCCCUCUCCCCAUGCUGCUGAUGGUCAGCUUUCUCUGCACGCUCGUGGUUGCCACAGUCAACGCUGAUAAAAUUGCUGAUGCAGAUUGCCUGCCCAGCUGCGAGUGCUGGCACGGGACCAGCAGCCCAGACGGUCACUGGAAGUGGUUGGGCUGAUUAUUGGCAUCAUCUCCAUUGUCCUACUCGGUUCUUAAAGGCAUAUGGACUUGCCUCACUCCUACAGCAAAUGACGGCAUGGGCAAAGAGGGGCAACAGACCCACCCUGAAGACACUCCUCAUCUGGUUGACUUGGCAGGGUUAAGGGAAAAAGAUGUGAUGACUAGGAGCUGAGAGCUUAGUGGUUCUGCCAGAGCUGCAGAGUCUUUGUUGGCCUCAGGGUGGGACCUCUCACAUCUCUGUCAGCUUUUCACGGACACCAACCUGUUAUGAUUCAUUUCACCUGUCCUGAGCACUAGCAAGAAAAAUUCGCUGUAGCUUGUGAUGUAUUAUUCUGGAUUUCUCAACUCAUUCAUUUGUUCAUUCAUUCACUAUACCAUUACUGUCUAUUAUAAGGGGGGCACAAUGGUAGGUGCUGGGAAUAAAAACGAUGUUUAACGUUUCAUGAGGCUUCCCUGUCCUUAAGGAGUCCGCGUGUCUUUGUACCUGUCUGUCUGCUAGAUUAUUAAGUGACACUGUGAGAAGCUACUGAGAGCAGCAUGUGGGACAUGCAGAAGGGCAAGAGGCAGGAGAGAUGAUUCAUGUCGGAGGGGCAGGGGAGGACUGACGGAGAGGGUGAUGUUUGGCUGAGUCAUGAAGGCUAGUGGUAUUUUUCCAUGCAGAGAAGUGGGAGGAAAGGCAUUCUGUGUGGAGGGCACACAGUGUGCAAGGGCAGAGAGGUCAUUAUGUGAAGGCUUUGUGCUACUGCUUCAGAGUUGUGGAACGUGAUGUUGCAAUCUGGGAAAGACGCUGAUGGCAAGGGAUAGCAUCAUCAGGUUGUGCUGCCAUCCCUGAAAGGCCCAGGCUCAAAGGUUUUGGGUGAAGGAAGCCAGGAGGGUUAGAAAGGGAGGAAGAUGCCAGGGCAUCUGGUAAAAUAAAGCAUGUGUCAGGCUUGGAGUUGCAUAAGGCAGGUGCCCUGAGCCCAUUGAUGCAACUUCCAGCUGCUUUGAUGGAGCACAGGCUCAUUUGGAGAAUAGACCUUCUCUGGCCCUUGCCCACCCUGUUCACCUCCCAGGGCCCAGCUUCUCACCUGCUCGCCUUUGGUGUGGCUGGGGGAGGCAUAGGCCUCUGGGUAGUGCUGCCGCUCAAAUGGGCACUCGAGCGGCUCGAGGUGGUGCUGGCUGAAGGCAUCCGUGCGAAGGUGCUUUCGGGGUCCGCUGCUGCUGCUCUGUGAGUCAAUGCUUAGUCGGCAGCUAUCCUGAUCACCUGGUACCCCCCGGGAAGGAAGAAAGCUUUUAGGGGACCUAUCUAUUCAUGCUCUAGGCCAAAGUAGAGGACUGACUCCAAGCUGACUCACUGUGGAGGGAGAAAAAGGGCCAGCCACGUGGGCCCAGGAGCCUUGGCCAACUGAGGGACAGGACAUGUGACAGUCACAUGCAGAGCCCCUACAAAGUCCCAUAUCAUAAGUGGAAGGGUUUCUGUCCCCAUCAAAGCCUGAGCAAACUGCUCUCGUGCACCGCCCGCUGCCCUCCUGUCCCAGCACUCACUGUCAUCCAUUUUCCUCUUGUCGCUGCCAGGCUGAGCGAUGCCCAGGAGCCCAUUGAUGGAGUAGGUGGAGCCCAGGGAAUCCGACUGGGGUGACUCCGGGGGAGUUACAGCUGAGCUGGG
rnacentral:lncRNA from 1 species